AAAAUACAUUAAAAAGAGAGGGAGGGAGGGAGGGAGGGAGGGAGGGAAAAUAUUCUUGUUGUCAACACCAGGAGUGCUAAGAUUCCCUGCAGUCAUCCCAGGCAGCCCCGGUGGCAGAGCUGACGAGGACACGCUGUGCCAAGAAGCCAUAUGCCUUUGGAGGAGAAAGGAUGGGGCCGGAAGGUCAACAGCAGCAGCAGCAGCACAGCCCACGUGAAGGAAUGUGGAAAAGAGAGCACAGACCUGUUCUGUUCAGGCUCUGGCUGAGAAUAAGUAUCGACAAGCCGCUAUAAAUGGAAACUGAAGAAGUGGGGCGAGAGAAGAAGACAGAAGAGUCAGGGCAAGAUAAAGGAAUAACUGUUUCCUUCCAGCUGCUCAAGCCACACGACACGCCCUGGUGUCGUUCCUGACUCCUCUCUCUCUCCUUCCUCACAUACAGUCCGUCAGCAAAGCUCACGGACUCCACUUUCAAAAUACAUCCAGAAUCCAACUAAUUGUCCACACACACGCAGGUACUGCUCGGAGUACCGGCCCUUAACUUGUUUAUUUUUGUCUUAACAUUAACCACCUAAUCUGUCCUGUAUUUACUUAAACAUAUGUUACUGACCCCCUCGCCUACCUCCAGUAGAAUUUAAGCUCCUUGAGAACAGGAGCGUUUUGUUCCCGUUGUUCAGUUAUUCCUAGCUCCUAAAACAAUGUUUAUACAUAGAAGGUAUUCACUUCAUAUUUGUUGAAUGAACAAAUGAAUGAAAAGCUUACCAAACAGGACUCAGAGAAUAGAAUAAGCAGCAACCAAAAAGAUAAGUAUUUUCCUUUGGUAAAGAAAUAGAAUUUGGGACAAUGAAUAAGGAAAAUAAGAAUUCCAAACACUUGAAAAUUUUUAAUAAGCAAACAAGGACUACAGAUACUAUCUAAGUAGUUCAGAAAUAAAGCUCCGACUUGGUUCUGGAAAGAUGUGAUAAUGAAGUAUCAAAUAUUCCAAUAAAGGUGGCAGAACAGUUCAGAGUUUGGACUAGAAAACACAGGCGUGAAGUAAAGUAUUGUAAGGGAAGACUCUGGUUAACCAUCUAUCAGUUUUUUGUUUGUUUCUUUCAUUUUUUUUAGAACAGAAAGAUUUUGGCUGUAAUCAGAGUCAAAGAUAAGCUAUGACUAUGGCUCAAUAAAUGAUCUGAAUGUCAUCCUAGAGUGAACGUUUCCAGUGCAGAAACAAGAGCAGAGUGGAAAAGGAGGUAGAAUGCAAGCAGGUAGUAAAAUGCACCCAUGAAAACUGUGUGAGAAUGUGCUCCAAUGAAAGGGAGACUGGAACAUUCGGUGGCAUAUGAAAGGCCUCAAGCAAAACAUUAAAAACAACUAAGCUGAUACCAUCCGUCCAAAGGCAUACCAGAAAGGAGCGGGCAUCGGAAAACAUGAUGGAGGUGAACAGCCGUAGAGGUCAAGGCUGACAGAGGAACCCGGGAAGGAGAGCAGAGGACGAACAUGGAAAUCAGAAACAGCAGAAAGGCGCAGGAAACAAGGAGGCCAGGACUGCUUCAGGGAAAAUGGCUUUUACGUCGGAGGAAGGGAAAGAGAGAACUCACAGCAAGCCGAGAGCAGAGGCAGGGGUCACUCACUACCAUUCCAAAAAGGGGGGACCUGCAGCCCGGGAGGAUGAAGCAACUGGCUCAAGGACACAGAAGCAGCGGCAGGUCCAGGAUUCCACCCGGAUCUGACAGCAGCACGAAGUCCACUGCCCAGCUGCGUUUCGAUGCCCUCCUGUGACUAAGGUUUUGCAGGGUAUUUUUGUGGCAUAUUAGGCAAUAGGUAAGUCAAGAGUUAUAAACAUGCCCCCCAAACACACACAAACACACCACACAAAAAACACCCUUUUAAUCUAAAAUAAAAUUCUUUAGAAUGAAAGGUGUUACCUUAUAUAUACAUACACUACAUGUAAGCCAAUUCACUACACAAAAUGUUUUCCUUUAAAGUUGAACUUGGUUCAGUCACAGCCUACUAUUCAGGCUACUCUUUCGGUCCACAUGUAUGUCUUCAAUUUUAAAGCACUAAAUAAAAAUCAUUGAAGUAU